AUGUGUUUGACUAAAGAACUGCAUUCUUUCUGCAGAAAACAGAAGCAAGAAAUCAGCACGUUGAAUGUCUGCAUUCUCCUGAGUGGAGGAAAAGUAUCAGGGAAAGCAGUGAGAAGAGAGAUGAGGAGCUGCCUGCUGCAGAGAGAACUGCUGGCUAGAAGAGAACCUAUCAGGACAAUUGCUGGCGUACUGAGCAAGAAGCGUUGGGAGGGUUUGUUGUUCACACUUACCAACCUGAUUGUUUGGAGUGACUAAGGUCCAACACACCCUAAUACCCAGAGCAAUGAAUGGAGCAACAGAAAAUUAAUUGCAAUAAUUCAGAGUCCAGUUCUGCUUUCCUUGUGCUGUGACUAAUCUAACAGAGAUGAAUAGGCUGCUUGUGGAACAAGAAACUACUCAGCAUGACUAAUGGUGGUGGAAUUGAGCCCCCCGUGAAUAUUAUGAACCAGUUCUGAAACAGUGCUCAUUUUGUGUCCCACUGAAAGACAGACGAUUUUGUCCCAUCUUUAGGUUUCCAAGAUGCCCAGAAAGGAGUCCUUCCAAAUCAUACUAACUAAAAAGACUGUCACGAGAAGUGCAGAAUGUAUUCUUACAGCUGCAAAAUAGUGACAAUAAGUGAUAUCAAGGUUCCAAAUGUUAAGUCUCAAGAGCACAGGACCUCUGCUGGGCUGUUAUGCUGGUAGAAGUUUAACAUCUUCAGUGUCAAAACAAUGUGUUGGGCAUUCUAGAGUCAGCUGAAGGCAGGUGGUCUGACAGCACAGCUCAGGACCAUCCCCUGCACUUCUCUGUUCUGCAGCCAUCUGCUGCACAGAGCUGAUGCUCUCGGCAGUGUUCAUUACAAGACACGGUUUUAAAGCAUUCAACAUAACCACAGGCUGACAGACAGGAAGAUGUUUAUCCCCUCAGGGAAGACAGUAACAGAAGUGCAUCUGGAAGCAAAGCUUUUGGAUCCCGUCUUUGUGGCCUGACUCCAUACAUGAUGAAAUCAAACGUUUUUGAUUUGUAGGUGAGGUGCUCCAGCUCUCUCAGCAGCUUCAUGGCCCUCCUGUGGACCCGCUCCAACAGCUCCACAUCUUUCCUGUGCUGGGGGUCCCAGCUCCCUCAAGUGGGGCCUCCUCAGAGCAGUGUAGCAGGGGGAGAAUCACCUCCCUCAGCCUCAACCUGCUGGCAGUGAUUCUUGUCACUGAUGAGCACCUGGCUGCCCGUACAAUGUUAAGCAAAAGGUCUGCACUCAUUUCUUUCAAGUGCCCUGAUACAGGCCUGGGACCUUUCCUGAGAUACUGUUUUGUUGAA
rnacentral:lncRNA from 1 species